rnacentral:rRNA from 1 species
AGUGAACGCUGGCGGUAGGCCUAACACAUGCAAGUCGAACGGCAGCACAGUAAGAGUUUGCUUUUACGGGUGGCGAGUGGCGGACGGGUGAAGAAUACAUCGGAAUCUACUUUUUCGUGGGGGAUAACGUAGGGAAACUUACGCUAAUACCGCAUACGACCUACGGGUGAAAGCAGGGGAUCUUCGGACUUUGCGCGAUUGAAUGAGCCGAUGUCGGAUUAGCUAGUUGGAGGGGUAAAGGCCCACCAAGGCGACGAUCCGUAGCUGGUCUGAGAGGAUGAUCAGCCACACUGGAACUGAGACACGGUCCAGACUCCUACGGGAGGCAGCAGUGGGGAAUAUUGGACAAUGGGCGCAAGCCUGAUCCAGCCAUACCGCGUGGGUGAAGAAGGCCUUCGGGUUGUAAAGCCCUUUUGUUGGGAAAGAAAAGCAGCAGGUUAAUACCCCGCUGUUCUGACGGUACCCAAAGAAUAAGCACCGGCUAACUUCGUG